rnacentral:rRNA from 1 species
ACUCCUACGGGAGGCAGCAGUGGGGAAUUUUGGACAAUGGGCGCAAGCCUGAUCCAGCAAUGCCGCGUGCAGGAAGAAGGCCUUCGGGUUGUAAACUGCUUUUGUCAGGGAAGAAAUCUUCUGGGCUAAUACCCCGGGAGGAUGACGGUACCUGAAGAAUAAGCACCGGCUAACUACGUGCCAGCAGCCGCGGUAAUACGUAGGGUGCGAGCGUUAAUCGGAAUUACUGGGCGUAAAGCGUGCGCAGGSGGCUUUGCAAGACAGAGGUGAAAUCCCCGGGCUCAACCUGGGAACUGCCUUUGUGACUGCAAGGCUAGAGUACGGCAGAGGGAGAUGGAAUUCCGCGUGUAGCAGUGAAAUGCGUAGAUAUGCGGAGGAACACCGAUGGCGAAGGCAAUCCCCUGGGCCUGUACUGACGCUCAUGCACGAAAGCGUGGGGAGCAAACAGGAUUAGAUACCCUGGUAGUCCACSCCCUAAACGAUGUCAACUGGUUGUUGGACGGCUUGCUGUUCAGUAACGAAGCUAACGCGUGAAGUUGACCGCCUGGGGAGUACGGCCGCAAGGUUGAAACUCAAAUGAAUUGACGG